UCCUAUUGUGUUUUGCUGUUUUCUAGUCAUCUAUGUGGAGUUAAGGAAGAAGAGAGUGGGAGCAUAAUUGUAUAGACUUUAAUUCCAGCAGGGUUUCUCCUCUCCAGCAGGAGGAUCUAAACCGGAAAAGGGAGACGAAGAAAAUGUCGCUGAUCUCCUCCAAAUGAGCACGUAAUGCAUUUCUUGGAACAAGCCUCAGUCACAUGCUAGCUACUGCCACGUGUGGAGCUACUAUGCCAUGCCAGAUGGACUGGAAUUCCUCCAAAUUUAUGAAUGAGAAGAAACCUUCUGUCUCUUGAAUUGUUUUGGUCAGGGAUUUGAUGAAACAAGUAAUCAAUAUGGAAAAUGGGUAUCAAAGAAAUUGGGCCUGCUUCCUUUCUGCAGCUAUGGAAACAAGACUGCCCCUCAUGGUCUUGGCACUAUGGGUGGGGCUACUCCUGGCAUUCCUCACUAGGAUAGGAUAGACUGGAGCUCCCUAAAAUUGGGAGUGAGAAUAAAUCCUUCUGUUCAGUUGCUUCUUCCAGAUAUUGAUCACAGUGGUGAAAUAUGAUUAAUGCAGUAUUGUCUAGGCACUUUCCAUGUAAUGUUUUUCUACUAGGUUGUAAAAAUUUUGAAGGCAGGAAGCAUGUCUUUUUUUUCCAUUGGAUAUUUUCUUUAUUUACAUUUCAAAUGUUAACACCUUUUCUGGUUCCCCCCCCCCCGAAAACUACUUGUUCCCCUCCCCCUGCUUCUGUGAGGGUGUUGCCCCACCCACCCACUCACUCCUGUCUUCCUGCCCUGGCAUUCCCCUACGCUGGGGCAUCGAGCCUUCAGAGGGCCAAAUGCCUGUCUUCCCAAUGAUGUCCAACAAGGCCAUCCUCUGCUAUAUAUGCAGCUGGAGCUAUGGGUCCCUCCAUGUGUACUCUUUGGUUGGUGGUUUAGUCCCUGGGAGCUCUGGGAGUAUGGGCUGGUCCAUAUUGUUGUUCCUACUAUGGGGCUUCCAGCUCCUUCAGCCCUUUCUAUAGCUCCUCCAUUGCGGACCUUGUGCUCAGUCCAAUGAAUGGUUGAUAUUGUUGUGUGUCUGAUUGGCUGAUAUUGUUGUUCCAGGAAGCAUGUCUUGAUCCUGUAUUUUUAGAUGAUAAUAAAAUGCCUGCAACAUAGGAGGUCUUUGAAUGAGUGAACAAAUGAGUAAUGAAUGGUACUAACACUUGGAAAGGCUGGUCAGUUGAUCUUAUUUAAAUGUGGAGCAUACAAUGGUAUACUUCGAUUAUCAGGACCCAUGGGAAAUUCUCU